UACGUAGGGUGCAAGCGUUAAUCGGAAUUACUGGGCGUAAAGCGUGCGCAGGCGGUUCGUUGUGUCGGCGGUGAAAGCCCCGGGCUUAACCUGGGAACGGCCGUUGAAACUGGCGAACUGGAGUGUGGCAGAGGGGGGUGGAAUUCCGCGUGUAGCAGUGAAAUGCGUAGAGAUGCGGAGGAACACCGGUGGCGAAGGCGGCUAUCUGGCCCGUAAUUGACGCUGAGGCGCGAAAGCGUGGGGAGCAAACAGG
rnacentral:rRNA from 1 species